CCCGGGGCAGCUGGCCGAGCCCUCGAUGCCUCCCGUCUGACGGAGGCGCCCGGGAAGCGCCGCCCACCUCGGCCCCGCACCCUCGCCGGCCUGCCGGGUCUCCGCCAGCCCUAGCAGACAGAGAGGGGCGCCGGUCCCUAGUCCCCCAGACCUCCAUUCAAGGUCAAAACUUUGCCCAGCUCAGCCUUGCUCGACCCUGGGCAGGGAAGCGCGGACAUCGGCAGAGGGAGCCCGAGGCUCUCCGUGCCCUUCGCGCCGGUCAAGAACUGUGGAAUCUUUCAGAUGAUAUUCUGAUACUUCUGGACCAAGAUUGAAUUUGUUCUUCAUGAAAAAUGUCUGGGACCUUUUAUAUGGACGGGGAAUACCAACGUAGAGAUGGUCAAGAAAAUUUGCGCUCCGACCUAAACCAAGCACGUUGUAUGGUAGUUGGAGAGCUAAAUAUGAAAGAGAGACAAACCUUGACCUGGAGAUGCUUAAAGGUACAAAAACGAAAAUAUAAUGGAAUGUUUCCUCAUUUGUAGAAUUAGAAUAACUAUAGCAAACAGUAUCAUCUACUGCAUGGAUUCGGUGAGGAAAUUACCAGAUAAUUAAUAGUACUUAACUUCUAAUGUUUUAUAAAACUGCUUUGUAGGUGGGAGGAGCCAAGAUGGCCGAAUAGGAAAAGCUCCGGUCUACAGCUCCCAGCGUGAGCAACGCAGAAGACGGGUGAUUUCUGCAUUUCCAUCUGAGGGUGUACUCCAUCUACUUUUAAAAACAAAAAGUUCACUGUAAAACAGCCUCAGGUAGGCCGUUCAGUAGGUAUUCCAGAAGAAGGUAUUGUCAUCAUAGGAGAUGGACAGCUCCAAGGGUGUUUAUUGCCCCUGAAGACUUUCUAGUGGAACAAGAUGUGGAGGUGGAAGACACUGAUGUUGGUGAUCCUGACUCAGUGCAGGCCUAAGCUAAUGUGGGUGUUUGUGUCUUAGUUUUUAACUAAAGGUUUAAAAAGUAAAAAUAAAACAUUAAAAAAAAUUUUUGUAC
rnacentral:lncRNA from 1 species